GAUAAGUAUGCUAGCGGGUCACCUAGGAAUAAAGUAUGCUAGCAAGGUUUUAACCGUAGAAUUUAGUUAUCCUAAACAAAACCCUUGGAUGAAAGGGAAAAAAUCUAAACCUUCCCUCCACCCUGCUACACAUUUUCUCUACCCCUGCAACCAUUCUGAGUUGCCAUAGUCUGGUUUCUCACUCAUGCCUUUUCUCCCCGCAGCCCUUUAUCUCGAUCACUACCCCAUUGUUUCUCUCUCUCUCUCUCUCUCUCUCUCUCGUCUCUUUUUCUCUUAAUCACAUUUUCUUCAUCUCUCUUCUUCAACGAAGAGCAAAGUCAUUGAUCGGAAAUAUGGAAAUCUUUAGAUCACAUCGGAGAAUUUCUAGAAUUUGAGAUCUGAUUAAGGGAGAGUUGUUCACAAUAGAUUGGUUGGGGUUUUGUGGGGCUCUAUCUUCUUUAUUUGCAUAUGAUUUUUUUUAGAGAUCUGGUUUUGAAGGGAUCGACGUCUGGUUUGGUGUCUUCGCUGUGAAAAUGUCGAUGCUAUCACCUAAAUGCUAUUCAAAUUAGGGAGGUUUAGAAUGAUAAUCUUGAAGCUGAAUUUUCUCUGAUUUGGGAGAUUGUUGACGGUUUCCCUUACGUCACUAUGGAUAUGGAGUUUCCAGGGAUUGUUCUUCUUCCUUUCGGGAAUUUUAAAACUAGUUCUGAUUAUCAUUAUCAGACCUGGAUUGGGAUAGGGCUGGCAGGCUAGUAGGGAAGCUGCGAUUGAGCAACCGUUUGUAGCUCAACCCGCCUACUCAAGGAUCAGAAAGCUAGAAUUUUGGAAGCAAAUAUUAUCUUUUAGUUUAUUAUUGUUCCCAAUGCACUAGCUUGUAUUAUAUGUGCAGGAUGGAGCUUUCAAGAUCAUGCUUUGAUGGAAUAGUGUCAUGUUAAUGGAGUUUUCAACGGCAAUACUGUAUUUAAAUUACAAAAACUUGAGCCAACCUUGUAUCUUGAAUUUAUCACAUUUUAUUUGAUUCUCUAUACCUCUCCAA